AGAGUUUGAUCCUGGCUCAGGACGAACGCUGGCGGCACGCUUAACACAUGCAAGUCGAACGAGAGAAGAGAAGCUUGCUUUUCUAAUCUAGUGGCGGACGGGUGAGUAACACGUGAGCAAUCUGCCUUUCAGAGGGGGAUACCGAUUGGAAACGAUCGUUAAUACCGCAUAACAUAAUUGAACCGCAUGAUUUGAUUAUCAAAGAUUUAUCGCUGAAAGAUGAGCUCGCGUCUGAUUAGCUAGUUGGUAAGGUAACGGCUUACCAAGGCGACGAUCAGUAGCCGGACUGAGAGGUUGAUCGGCCACAUUGGGACUGAGACACGGCCCAGACUCCUACGGGAGGCAGCAGUGGGGAAUAUUGCACAAUGGAGGAAACUCUGAUGCAGCGAUGCCGCGUGAGGGAAGAAGGUUUUAGGAUUGUAAACCUCUGUCUUCAGGGACGAAAAAAGACGGUACCUGAGGAGGAAGCUCCGGCUAACUACGUGCCAGCAGCCGCGGUAAUACGUAGGGAGCGAGCGUUGUCCGGAAUUACUGGGUGUAAAGGGAGCGUAGGCGGGAUCGCAAGUCAGAUGUGAAAACUAUGGGCUUAACCCAUAAACUGCAUUUGAAACUGUGGUUCUUGAGUGAAGUAGAGGUAAGCGGAAUUCCUAGUGUAGCGGUGAAAUGCGUAGAUAUUAGGAGGAACACCAGUGGCGAAGGCGGCUUACUGGACGAUAACUGACGCUGAGGCUCGAAAGCGUGGGGAGCAAACAGGAUUAGAUACCCUGGUAGUCCACGCCGUAAACG
rnacentral:rRNA from 1 species